UGGAGCAGUUCCUGGCUGUCCUUCCACCGGAGAUGGAGAGCUGGGUGAGGGAAUGUGGAGCUGAGUACCCAGUACCCAGCCACUGGCCCUGGCCGAAGGUUUCCUCCUGAGUCAGGCAGAGGAGAGGAAGCAGGCAGAGCAGCAGAGACAGGAUCUGUUUGCAGAAAUGGGCACGGAUUCCUCUGAGACCAAAAGGACUCCGCUGGACACCAGAGAGAGGCUGCUGGGUGACCAGAUGAUGCCAGCAAGACCUCCUCUUCCAUCUAUUCCUGGUGGUGAAGGAGAAGCAACGGCUGUGGAAGCAGCUCAGGUAGAGGGAGGGAGCCCUGUGGGGAAGGGGGCUGAGGGGUGGGGCAGCCAGGGUGCCUCUGGCCCCCGAGGAAUGUCUCUCCUCCUCUUGGCUUCUGUCCAAGCUUCUCUGAAGGCAUCUUUGUCAAGGGCAGCCUAGACAGAAGCCAAGAGGCUGGGAAUGCCAUUCGAGAAGCUUAAUGGGCUGAGCAUAAGGAACAGUAUAUACCCAAAGUAUCAAAUGUGGUGACAGUAAUAAUAAUACAACAAAACACCACCAUGAACUGGCUUAUAAGUAUAAAACCAAAUUUACUAGAAUAAUAGCUACAAUAGAGAUAGACUUGUAACCAUUCAAACAUCAAACAUGCUAAGGUGCCACGUGCAAAACAAAGCCUGGAGAUACUGUAAACAUGGAGUGGAUAAAUGCACAACUGUAUCUUAAGAAGAUACAUGUGCAAUAAACGUUAUACAGACUGGAUGGAUGAACCGUUCAACAAGUAGUGUAAGUCCAAUCGCAGAACGGCAACCCCAUGACGCCACAACGGCAAGGGUAGCACACCGGAGAAUCUGAAAAAGUUUUUCAAAGAUGUUUUUCAAAGGUUGAACUGGACGAGAUGUUCUUCAAUGGGUCUUGAGUUGGAAACCCAAAGUCUUGUGCAUGGAUCAGUUACGGGAAGGCAAAUCAAAGCCACUGCCCUGGUGAGAAUAACGCAAGUGGGCAAAAGGAGACCUGUUGUUCUCCAGAUAUAUUACAGGUUUUGCCACACGCUUCACCAGUCCGAAAAGCCAGUCGUACAAAAUGGUUUGCUCAGGAUAAAGAAGGUAUUCUCAGGCACUUAACGAAACAGCAACUAAAGAGCCAGUGUGGUAUAGUGGUUAAGAGCGGUAGUCUCAUAAUCUGGGGAACCGGGUUCGCAUCUCCGCUCCUC